GACGAACGCUGGCGGCGUGCCUAACACAUGCAAGUCGUACGGGCUUGGGGGGCAACUCUCAAGUCAGUGGCGAACGGGUGCGUAACACGUGAGCAACUUGCCCUAUGGUGGGGGAUAGCCGGCCCAACGGCCGGGUAAUACCGCAUAUGGCGCUGAGGUCACAUGGCCUUAGUGGGAAAGCGGCCGCAAGGUCGCGCCAAAGGUGGGGGCUCGCGACGUAUCAGCUAGUGGCGGGGGUAACGGGCCCACCAAGGCUACGACGCGUAGCUGGUCUGAGAGGAUGGCCAGCCACAUUGGGACUGAGAUACGGCCCAGACUCCUACGGAGGGCAGCAGUGGGGAAUAUUGCGCAAUGGCCGCAAGGCUGACGCAGCGACGCCGCGUGUGGGGGAUG
rnacentral:rRNA from 1 species